rnacentral:rRNA from 1 species
UGAGGAAUAUUGGACAAUGGGCGAGAGCCUGAUCCAGCCAUGCCGCGUGCAGGAAGACGGCCCUAUGGGUUGUAAACUGCUUUUAUACAGGAAGAAACACUCCCUCGUGAGGGAGCUUGACGGUACUGUAGGAAUAAGGAUCGGCUAACUCCGUGCCAGCAGCCGCGGUAAUACGGAGGAUCCAAGCGUUAUCCGGAAUCAUUGGGUUUAAAGGGUCCGUAGGCGGGAUAAUAAGUCAGCGGUGAAAGUCUGUGGCUCAACCAUAGAAUUGCCAUUGAUACUGUUGUUCUUGAGUGUUUAUGAAGUGGUUAGAAUAUGUAGUGUAGCGGUGAAAUGCUUAGAUAUUACAUGGAAUACCGAUUGCGAAGGCAGAUCACUAAUAAAAUACUGACGCUGAUGGACGAAAGCGUAGGUAGCGAACAGGAUUAGAUACCCUGGUAGUCUACGCCGUAAACGAUGGUUACUAGCUGUUCGGAAGCAA